AUGCAUCGUUGCAAAGCAAUAUAUCUCCAGAAUUAAGACAGAGGAAAGUCAACAGAAAAUGACGGUUAUGAGACUUCUUUCUGAACAACACAAAGUUCUGGAAGCUAUGCCCAGUGUUUUUUUCUGCGCUAAAAGUUGCGGUCACGUUCGGGGCCUCCACUGCCAUGUGUGAGAACUCCUUCUCGGCACUAAAGAACGUUUUUACGGACCACAGACGAGCAAUGAGCCACACUCGUAAUUCCUCCUCUUGUCGCCUGCAGCUCUUCUAAAGGCAUCCAGAGAUUCCAGCUCCAGUUGUGUUCCCGCUUCAUGAAGAUUUCGGACCUUCACUGAGAAGAGUCCAACCCUGUGAAGAUCAUGAGGCGUCUACAGUAGAAAUGUACCAGCUCUGGUUGUGUUCCUCUUUAUGUAGAUUUCAGACCUUCAAAGAGAAGAUGCCAACUUCAUGUGGUCUUUGAGGACAACAACCUCCUAAUCGGUACACAAUUAUCAGACUGUAUCUGACUGUAUAAAGGACAUUAUUCAUAAUAGCACAAUCCGGUGUUUAUAACAGUUUAUAAUCACACCCUCCAGUGUCACCCAAAUGAGGAUGAGGAUCACUUUUGAGUCUGGUUCCUCUCAAGGUUUCUUCCUCUUCCAUCUAAGGGAGUUUUCCUCACCACAGUCACCUCAGGCUUGUUCAUUAGGGAUAAAUAACACAUUUAAAUAUAAGUCUAAUAUUAAUCUUGAAUCUUUGUAUAAUAUUAAUAUUGGUUAAAUAAACCUUUUGAACUAAAA